UACGUAGGGUGCGAGCGUUAAUCGGAAUUACUGGGCGUAAAGCGUGCGCAGGCGGUUUGUUAAGUCAGAUGUGAAAGCCCCGGGCUCAACCUGGGAACUGCAUUUGAAACUGGCGGGCUUGAGUGCGGCAGGGGGGGGUGGAAUUCCGCGUGUAGCAGUGAAAUGCGUAGAUAUGCGGAGGAACACCGAUGGCGAAGGCAAUCCCCUGGGCCUGCACUGACGCUCAUGCACGAAAGCGUGGGGAGCAAACAGG
rnacentral:rRNA from 1 species